UACAGAGGGUGCUAGCGUUGUUCGGAAUCAUUGGGCGUAAAGGGCGUGUAGGCGGUUUUGUUAAGUCAUGUGUGAAAUCCCUCGGCUCAACCGGGGAACGACGCAUGAAACUGGCAAGCUAGAGUACCAAAGAGGGGGGUGGAAUUCCCGGUGUAGCGGUGAAAUGCGUAGAUAUCAGGAGGAACACCAGCGGCGAAAGGCGGCGCUCUGGGCCGGUACUGACACUGAGGAGCGAAAGCGUGGGGAGCAAACAG
rnacentral:rRNA from 1 species